GUAGAAUCAGCUAAUAAAGCUAUUGGGCCCAUACCCCAAAAAUGUUGGUUACAAUCCCUCCUCUACUA
rnacentral:tRNA from 1 species